rnacentral:rRNA from 1 species
GGCCAGACUCCUACGGGAGGCAGCAGUGGGGAAUAUUGGGCAAUGGAGGAAACUCUGACCCAGCAACGCCGCGUGAAUGAUGAAGGUCUUCGGAUUGUAAAGUUCUUUUCUAAGGGAAGAAGAAAGUGACGGUACCUUAGGAAUAAGCCUCGGCUAACUACGUGCCAGCAGCCGCGGUAAUACGUAGGAUGCGAGCGUUAUCCGGAUUUAUUGGGUUUAAAGGGUGCGCAGGCGGAAUGUCAAGUCAGCGGUAAAUUUUCGGGGCUCACCCUCGCUCCGCCGUUGAAACUGGCGUUCUUGAGUGGGCGAGAAGUAUGCGGAAUGCGUGGUGUAGCGGUGAAAUGCAUAGAUAUCACGCAGAACUCCGAUUGCGAAGGCAGCAUACCGGCGCCCAACUGACGCUGAAGCACGAAAGCGUGGGUAUCGAACAGGAUUAGAUACCCUGGUA